rnacentral:rRNA from 1 species
GGAAGUAAAAGUCGUAACAAGGUUUCCGUAGGUGAACCUGCGGAAGGAUCAUUAUCGAGUUUGAAAGGGGUUGUAGCUGGCCUUACGGGGCAUGUGCUCGCCCUGCUCAUCCACUCUACACCUGUGCACUUACUGUGGGUCGGGAUUUAAAACCCCUGGCCUACGUCUCCACACAAACUAUACUGUAUCAGAAUGUAUACCGCGUUUAACGCAUUUAAUACAACUUUCAACAACGGAUCUCUUGGCUCUCGCAUCGAUGAAGAACGCAGCGAAAUGCGAUAAGUAAUGUGAAUUGCAGAAUUCAGUGAAUCAUCGAAUCUUUGAACGCACCUUGCGCUCCUUGGUAUUCCGAGGAGCAUGCCUGUUUGAGCGUCGUGAAUCUCUCAACCCAUGAGACUUUUGUUUCGUGUGGCUUGGACUUGGAGGCUUUGCUGGCGAUGUCAGCUCCUCUCAAAUGUAUUAGCUGGGCCUAGCUCGAAGGAACAGCCGGUGUGAUAAUUAUCUGCGCCGUCGCUUACUACUCCGGAUCCCGCUCCUAAUCGUCCGUAUGGACAAUUCACCUUGAAUCUGACCUCAAAUCAGGUAGGAUUACCCGCUGAACUUAAGCAUA